rnacentral:SRP_RNA from 1 species
GCCGGGUGUGGUGGUGGGCACCUGUAGUCCCAGCUACUGGGGAGGCUGAGGCAGAGGAAUCGCUUGAAUCCGGGGGCGGAGGUUGCAGUGAGCCGAGAUCACGCCACUGCACUCCAGCCUGGGCAACAAAGUGAGACUCUGUCUCAA